UAGUCCACGCCGUAAACGAUGGUCACUAGCUGUUUGUUUCACAAUGGUGAGAUAAGUGGUUAAGCGAAAGUGAUAAGUGACCCACCUGGGGAGUACGUUCGCAAGAAUGAAACUCAAAGGAAUUGACGGGGGCCCGCACAAGCGGUGGAGCAUGUGGUUUAAUUCGAUGAUACGCGAGGAACCUUACCAGGGCUUAAAUGUAAGUUGCAUUAAUCAGAGAUGGUUAUUUCUUCGGACCACUUACAAGGUGCUGCAUGGUUGUCGUCAGCUCGUGCCGUGAGGUGUCAGGUUAAGUCCUAUAACGAGCGCAACCCUUGUCUUUAGUUGCCAUCAUUAAGUUGGGCACUUUAAAGAGACUGCCGGUGACAAACCGGAGGAAGGUAAGGAUGACGUCAAGUCAGCAUGCCCCUUAUGCUCUGGGCUACACACGUGCUACAAUGGCCGUGACAAAGAGUUGCUACUUUGUGAAAACAAGCUAAUCUCAUAAACGCGGCCUCAGUUCGGAUUGC
rnacentral:rRNA from 1 species